rnacentral:rRNA from 1 species
AUUGAACGCUGGCGGCGUGCUUAACACAUGCAAGUCGAUCGGUAACAGGUGUAGCAAUACAUGCUGACGAGAGGCGGACGGGUGAGUAAUGCUUGGGAAUCUGCCUAUUAGUGGGGGACAACCCGGGGAAACUCGGGCUAAUACCGCAUACGCUCUACGGAGGAAAGCCGGGGACCGCAAGGCCUGGCGCUAAUAGAUGAGCCCAAGUCGGAUUAGCUAGUUGGUAGGGUAACGGCCUACCAAGGCGACAAUCCGUAGCUGGUCUGAGAGGACGACCAGCCACACCGGAACUGAGACACGGUCCGGACUCCUACGGGAGGCAGCAGUGGGGAAGUAUUGGACAAUGGGGGCAACCCUGAAUCCAGCGACGCCGCGUGGGUGAAGAAGGCCUGCGGGUUGUAAAGCCCUUUCGGUGGGAAGAAAAGUCUCGACCUAAUACGUCGGGACCUUGACGUAA